UGGAUAACCGUGACAAAUUACAGCUAAUACAUGCAGUCAGACCUGGUCCAAGGGUCGUAAUUAUUAGUAUUAAGCCAUACCCGCAAGGUGUAUGAUGAUUCAUAAUAAUCGAACGAAUCGCCUGGUGUGCGAUAAAUCAUUCAAGUUUCUGCCCUAUCAGCUUUGGAUGGUAGUGUAUUGGACUACCAUGGCAGUCACGGGUAACGGAGAAUUAGGGUUCGAUUCCGGAGAGGGAGCCUGAGAAACGGCUACCACAUCUACGGAAGGCAGCAGGAGCGAAAAUUGCCCAAUCCCGAUUCGGGGAGGCAGUGACGAGAAAUAGCAACUCUUGAUAAUUUUAAGAAGUGCAAUGAGGAUAAUUCAAAACCCUUACCGAAAGCAAUUGGAGGGCAAGUCUGGUGCCAGCAUCCGCGGUAAUUCCAGCUCCAAUAGCGUAUACUAAAGUUGUUGCAGUUAAAAAGCUCGUAGUUGAAGUUCUGGCUGUUUGAUCUUCGCGCUCCGUAGCCGAAGGCUCAACAGUCAUCCGCUUGCAAACAUAGUUCGCCCUUCACCGGGUGGUUAUGUGAGUAAGCAUUUUACCUUGAGAAAAACAGAGUGUUCCAGGCAGGUUUGUCCGGAAUGCAUUAGCAUGGAAUAAUAGAAUAUGACUGAAGUCGAUUCAUUGGUUUAAGGCUUUAGUAAUGAUUAAUAGGAACAGUCGGGGGCAUUGGUACUUGACAGUCAGAGGUGAAAUUCAAGGAUUUGUCAAAGACUAACAAAUGCGAAAGCAUUUGCCAAGGAUGUUUUCAUUAAUCAAGAACGAAAGUUAGGGGAUCAAAGACGAUCAGAUACCGUCCUAGUCUUAACUAUAAACUAUACCGACUCGGAUUCAGAUGAAUCGUAAAGUUCAUUUGGGACCGUAGGAGAAAUCAAAGUUUUUGGGUUCUGGGGGAAGUAUGGUCGCAAGGCUGAAACUUAAAGGAAUUGACGGUUUUGCACCACCAUGGAGUGGAGUCUGCGGCUUAAUUUGACUCAACACUGGGAAACUCAUCAGGGCAAGAAGAUUGUAGGAUUGACAGAUUGAGAGUUCUUUCUUGAUUGGUCUAGUGGUGGUGCAUGGCCGUUCUUAGUUGGUGGAGUGAUUUGUCUGGUUAAUUCCGUUAACGAACGAGACCUUAACCUGCUAACUAGUACACCGAUGACAAAUCUGUGUGUUACUUCUUAGAGGGACUAUGUGAUGUAAUCACAUGGAAGUUUGAGGCAAUAACAGGUCUGUGAUGCCCUUAGAUGUCCUGAGCUGCACGCGUACUACAAUGGUGCUUUCAACGAGCAUUUCCUGAUCCGAAAGGAUUUGGGUAAUCUUUUUAGUGAGCACCGUGUUUGGGAUAGAUCUUUGUAAUUAUGGAUCUUGAACUAGGAAUUCCUAGUAAGCGCGCGUCAUCAGCGCGUGCUGAUUACGUCCCUGCAAAAUGUACACACCGCCC
rnacentral:rRNA from 1 species